rnacentral:rRNA from 1 species
AUUGAACGCUGGCGGAAUGCUUUACACAUGCAAGUCGAACGGCAGCACGGACUUCGGUCUGGUGGCGAGUGGCGGACGGGUGAGUAAUGUAUCGGAACGUGCCCAGUCGUGGGGGAUAACGUAGUGAAAAUUACGCUAAUACCGCAUACGAUCUAUGGAUGAAAGCGGGGGAUCGCAAGACCUUGCGCGAUUGGAGCGGCCGAUAUCAGAUUAGGUAGUUGGUGGGGUAAAGGCCCACCAAGCCAACGAUCUGUAGCUGGUCUGAGAGGACGACCAGCCACACUGGAACUGAGACACGGUCCAGACUCCUACGGGAGGCAGCAGUGGGGAAUUUUGGACAAUGGGCGAAAGCCUGAUCCAGCCAUUUCGCGUGCAGGAUGAAGGCCCUCGGGUUGUAAACUGCUUUUGUACAGAACGAAAAGGUUUCUACUAAUACUAGGAGCUCAUGACGGUACUGUAAGAAUAAGCACCGGCUAACUACGUGCCAGCAGCCGCAGUAA